AUUGAACGCUGGCGGCAUGCUUUACACAUGCAAGUCGAGCGGCAGCGCGGGGGCAACCCUGGCGGCGAGCGGCGAACGGGUGAGUAAUGCAUCGGAACGUAUCCUCGAGUGGGGAUAACCCAGCGAAAGUUGGGCUAAUACCGCAUGAGCUCUGAGGAGGAAAGCGGGGGACCUGCGAGGUCCUCGCGCUGGAGGAGCGGCCGAUGUCCGAUUAGCUAGUUGGUGGGGUAAAGGCUUACCAAGGCGACGAUCGGUAGCUGGUCUGAGAGGAUGAUCAGCCACACUGGGACUGAGACACGGCCCAGACUCCUACGGGAGGCAGCAGUGGGGAAUUUUGGACAAUGGGGGCAACCCUGAUCCAGCCAUGCCGCGUGAGUGAAGAAGGCCUUCGGGUUGUAAAGCUCUUUCGGACGGAACGAAAUGGGCGGGACUAAUACUCCUGUCUGAUGACGGUACCGUAAGAAGAAGCACCGGCUAACUACGUG
rnacentral:rRNA from 1 species